CACACACAGCACCCCUCACACACAACACCCCUCAGACACACACACAGCAUUCCACACCCUUACACACAAACACAUACACUGCACCCCUCAAUGCAGUAUGUGUGUGUGUAUUCAGCAGUCUGUAUGUGUGUGUAUUCAGCAGUCUGUGUGUGUGUGUGUAUUCAGCAGACUGUGUGUGUGUACUCAGCAGUGUGUAUAUUCAGCAGACUGUGUGUAUGUACUCAGCAGUCUUUGUGGGUGUAUUCAGCAGUCUGUGUGGGUGUAUUCAGCAGUGUAUGUAUUC